GCAGCCAUGCCGCGUGUAUGAAGAAGGCCUUCGGGUUGUAAAGUACUUUCAGCAGUGAGGAAGGGGGUGUCGUUAAUAGCGGCAUUUCUUGACGUUAGCUGCAGAAGAAGCACCGGCUAACUCCGUGCCAGCAGCCGCGGUAAUACGGAGGGUGCGAGCGUUAAUCGGAAUUACUGGGCGUAAAGCGCAUGCAGGUGGUUUGUUAAGUCAGAUGUGAAAGCCCGGGGCUCAACCUCGGAACUGCAUUUGAAACUGGCAAACUAGAGUACUGUAGAGGGGGGUAGAAUUUCAGGUGUAGCGGUGAAAUGCGUAGAGAUCUGAAGGAAUACCAGUGGCGAAGGCGGCCCCCUGGACAGAUACUGACACUCAGAUGCGAAAGCGUGGGGAGCAAACAGGAUUAGAUACCCUGGUAGUCCACGCCGUAAACGAUGUCUACUUGGAGGUUGUGGCCUUGAGCCGUGGCUUUCGGAGCUAACGCGUUAAGUAGACCGCCUGGGGAGUACGGUCGCAAGAUUAAAACUCAAAUGAAUUGACGGGGGCCCGCACAAGCGGUGGAGCAUGUGGUUUAAUUCGAUGCAACGCGAAGAACCUUACCUACUCUUGACAUCCAGAGA
rnacentral:rRNA from 1 species